CCAACGCCAGUUGGUGGAUGGCUAGGCUCUGGCACUGAAGAAGGGCGCGGCAAGCAGCGAUAUGCUCCGGGGAGACGCACGCAGUCUUAGAUCCGGAGAUACCCGAAUAGGACAUCCCGUCAGAGGUUAACAGCCUUUGACGUUCCGUAAGGAACGGGAACUCCCUGAACGGAAACAUCCAAGUAAGGGAUGGAAAAGAUACCAAUAGGUAUUCCCUUAGUAGGGGCGACCGAAAGGGGAACAGCCCAAACCGAAUCCUGAGCGAAAGCUUAAGGAGAUGUGGGGUCAUGGACCCUCCUCCUCUUACCUCGAGAAGCCGAGGUCGUCUGGAAAGGCGCAUCGUAGAGGGUGAUAGUCCCGUAAGCGUAGACGGGGUUGAGUUGUGGAGGAGUUCCUGAGUACUACGUCUUGGUCCUGACGUGGGAAUAUGGGAGUCACAGACUUCCAAGGCUAAAUAUGUCCAGAGUCCGAUAGGGCACUAGUACCGCGAGGGAAAGCUGAAAAGAACCCCGAGAGGGGGGUGAAAAGAGUCUGAAACCAGCUGGCAACUAGCGACAUGGUAUGGAAGGAAAGAUCUUCUUCGAAGGAACCUUCGUGAGGAGUAGUACGAGAAGAGGGGACUAAUAUCAUGUCUUCCGUUUCGGAGCACGGCCCAGGGAGUUCAUUGAGGUGGCGAGCCUAAGAGGGUUAACCUCGUAAGCGAAGGGAAACCAAUAGCUCGCAACUACUCUGUAGCGAGGAGCAAGGUCCGAUGAGGGCCUGUAUAGUCACCUCGAUGAGAACCCGGUACCGAGCGAUCUAGGCCUGAGCAGGAUGAAGCCGGGCGAAAGCCUGGUGGAGGUCCGCAGGGGUUCUGACGUGCAAUUCGUUCCUCUGAUUUGGGCCUAGGGGCAAAAGACCAAUCAAGCUCGGUGGUAGCUGGUUCCUCCCGAAGUGGGUCCAAGCCCAGACUGCCUGGAGGUUGCGGGUAGGGUAGAGCGACCAAUCAGGAAGACACAAACCGAAAGGUUUGGCUUUCUCUUUGAACUCCGAACCUGCUCGCUCCGUAGAAGGGCGGAUACGGUUUCCAUGGGAAAAGCUCAUGGGACGAGAGGGGAACAACCCAGACUUAGGUUAAGGCCCCAAAAUGCUGGUUAAGUGUUAACGAAAAAGGCGUCUUUGAUCGAAGACAGCUGGGAGGUAGGCUUAGAAGCAGUUACCCUUUAAAGAGUGCGUAACAGCUCACCAGCCGAGAUCAAGGGCCCUGAAGAUUUUCGGGGCUAAAUCAGCUGCCGAUACCUAAGAUCACUCUUGGAUUCUCGAGUGUUGGUAGGGAGGCGUUGUGGUUGGGUAGAAGCUGGGUCGAGAGAUCCAGUGGACCGAUCACAAGUGCGAAUCCUGGGGGAAGUAACAGCGUAGAAAGGUGAAAAUCCUUUCCGCCGUAAGGGCCAGGUUUCCUCGGCAACGCGUCGUCGACCGAGGGUCAGUCGGUCCUAAGGCAGCACAUAACCUGUAGCUGUCGAAUGGGAAACUGGUUAAUAUUCCAGUACCUUGGGGAUACGUUUGAGCCUGAUACUUGCGCUUCGUGAUAGGCCGAGCAGAAUGACCAUUCUGUUUAACUUCAGUAAACCUGGGGAGAACCGUAAUGGUGAGAACCGGGUGAAAGGAGGAUGAGCUGGCCUUAAGGCUGGUUCGGCUGAUUCGUGGAGCCCUUGAAAAGGGUAUUAGGAAGGAGUCUCCAAGUCCGUACCGAGAACCGACACAGGUGCCCUAGAUGAGUAGUCUCAGGCGUGUCGGGAACACCCUAGGUCAGGGAACUCGGCAAAUUAGCCCCGUACCUUCGGUAUAAGGGGUGCCUGGGUCCCUAAGCGAAUGCUUGGGGGUCUAGGUCGCAGUUACAAGGGGGUCCCGACUGUUUAAUAAAAACAUAGAUCCCCGCAAGCCCGUAAGGGUGUGAACGGGGGUUGAAUCCUGGCCACUAGCGGUCCGUGAAAACCGGGUACAACCGGGCGAAGCGCCGCUGAAGGCCGGGAGUAACUCUGACUCUCUUAAGGUAGCCAAAUGCCUUGCCGGGUAAGUUCCGGCGUGCAUGAAUGGAACAACGAGGACCCCGCUGUCCCGACCUGGGGCCCGGUGAACCUACCUCUUGGUGAAAAGGCCAAGAACUUCCAACGUGGGGAGAAGACCCCGUGGAGCUUUACUGCAUCCUGUCGUUGGGGUAGGGUCAUGAUUGCAGAGCGUAGGUGGGAGUCGCUAUAUCCCAGUUCCUCAGGGGACUGGGGGAGACAACAAUGUAACACCACCCCCUCAUGGCUAUACUUCUUACCGAAGCGCAAGCUUCGGAACAUCGGCAGGUGGGCAGUUCGGCUGGGGCGGCACGCCCUUGAAAAAGUAUCAAGGGCGCCCAAAAGUCAGCUCAGGCGGGUCAGAACUCCGCCGUAGAGGGCAAGGCCAAAAGCUGGCUUGACUGGAUCCUGAAAAGCGAGGGAUCCAGGGUCGAAAGACUGGCCUAGCGACCGCUCGUGCCCCCCUCUGUGGGGGCCGGGCAUGACAGAAAAGUUACCCCGGGGAUAACAGAGCCGUCGCGGGUGAGAGCUCCCAUCGACCCCGCGGUUUGCUACCCAGAUGUCGGCUUUUCCUAUCCUGGGAGUGCAGCAGCUCCCAAGGGUGGGGCUGCCCGCCCAUUAAAAGGGAACAUGAGUUGGGUUUAGACCGUCGUGAGACAGGUCGGACUCUCCCUGUUGGAAGCGCUGGCUGCUUGAGGGGAAGGUGCGGCUAGUACGAGAGGAACGCUGUGCCGCUGCCUCUAGUUUACCGGUUGUCCGGUAGGGCACUGCCGGGCAGCCACGCAGUAAGGGGUAACCGCUGAAAGCAUCUAAGUGGGAAACCCACCCCGAGACUAAGCAGCCAUUCCGCUUAUAGCGGACGAAGGCUCCUGUAGAACACAGGGUUGAUGGAACGGGGGUGUAAGCACCAAGGCUUCGGCCGAGGUGUUCAGCCCGCCGUCACCAAUCGCUUGAGGUGCAGACC
rnacentral:rRNA from 1 species